rnacentral:tRNA from 1 species
GGGUGCGUAGCUCAGCGGUAGAGCACUACCUUGACAUGGUAGGGGUCACAGGUUCGAUCCCUGUCGCACCCACCA